UGGGGAAUAUUGGACAAUGGGCGCAAGCCUGAUCCAGCCAUGCCGCGUGAGUGAUGAAGGCCUUAGGGUUGUAAAGCUCUUUCGCGCGCGACGAUAAUGACGGUAGCGCGAGAAGAAGCCCCGGCUAACUUCGUGCCAGCAGCCGCGGUAAUACGAAGGGGGCUAGCGUUGUUCGGAAUCACUGGGCGUAAAGCGCAUGCAGGCGGAUCGUUUAGUCGGGGGUGAAAUCCCGAGGCUCAACCUCGGAACUGCCUCCGAUACUGGCGAUCUUGAGUCCGGGAGAGGUGAGUGGAACUGCGAGUGUAGAGGUGAAAUUCGUAGAUAUUCGCAAGAACACCAGUGGCGAAGGCGGCUCACUGGCCCGGUACUGACGCUCAGGUGCGAAAGCGUGGGGAGCAAACA
rnacentral:rRNA from 1 species